CAGAGGCUCGCCUUGAACUUUACCAUCGUCCGCGCACGUUGCUCGCUGUCUUGCCGCGUCGGAAUUAUACAAUUAAUCGCGGCAAGAAGCGCCGGCCGAUCGCGCCAUCGAUUCGUUUUCCUCUGAACUGACUAACCGCUCGAUCGCGAGUCCGGUUCUGAUGGUUUUUGGGAACGUGCGCGAGUAAAAUUCCGAGUAAAACUCGCGCGAGUCGCUUUCGAGGUCGCUUCUCGGAAAUCAACUGACUAACAGAGGUGACGGUCUUAAGUUUCCUGACCUCGGAUCGCCGAUCGUCCCACGGAUCCAUCCUGGACCCGACAGCCGCCAGGGCCCGGGACUCGCGGGGUCCGGCCCGGACGCAGCCAUCGGCAGCGACAAGCUCGAACAACGGAAAACCGUCAACGGAUCGUGGUCGGAUUCGAGCUUACAGACUUGUCUCGCAUCGUCCAGAUGCAAGCGAUCGUUCUCCCAGGGUCCUGUCGCAGCGAGGCCAUCGUGUCAGUGUGGAAAUGCAUUCAUUACAUAGAAUUACGGUAUAAAUUGUGUUAAAUCAAUGUUAAUCGCUGUAGCGAAG